rnacentral:rRNA from 1 species
UUGGCCUACGGGGGGCAGCAGUGGGGAAUAUUGGGCAAUGGGCGCAAGCCUGACCCAGCAACGCCGCGUGAAGGAAGAAGGCUUUCGGGUUGUAAACUUCUUUUGUCAGGGACGAAGCAAGUGACGGUACCUGACGAAUAAGCCACGGCUAACUACGUGCCAGCAGCCGCGGUAAUACGUAGGGGGCAAGCGUUAUCCGGAUUUACUGGGUGUAAAGGGAGCGUAGACGGUACGCCAAGUCUGAAGUGAAAUGCCGCAGCUUAACUGCGGAACUGCUUUGGAAACUGGCGGGCUGGAGUGCGGGG